AGUAGAAUUAUGUGGAAGAUAUUUUAGAAUUGUUUGGGUCAUAUUUAGCAUUUCUGGACUUCCAUAUAUUACUUGA
rnacentral:pre_miRNA from 1 species